CCUACGGGUGGCUGCAGUGGGGGAUAUUGCACAAUGGGGGAAACCCUGAUGCAGCAACGCCGCGUGUGGGAAGAAGGUUUUCGGAUUGUAAACCACUGUUCUUGGUGAAGAUAAUGACGGUAGCCAAGGAGAAAGCUCCGGCUAACUACGUGCCAGCAGCCGCGGUAAUACGUAGGGAGCAAGCGUUGUCCGGAUUUACUGGGUGUAAAGGGUGCGUAGGCGGCUAGGCAAGUCAGACGUGAAAACCAUGGGCUCAACCUGUGGACUGCGUUUGAAACUGUUUAGCUUGAGUGAAGUAGAGGUAGGCGGAAUUCCCGGUGUAGCGGUGAAAUGCGUAGAGAUCGGGAGGAACACCAGUGGCGAAGGCGGCCUACUGGGCUUUAACUGACGCUGAGGCACGAAAGCAUGGGUAGCAAACAGGAUUAGAUACCCCUGUAGUC
rnacentral:rRNA from 1 species